AAUCAACGCUGGCGGCGUGCCUCAGACAUGCAAGUCGAACGAUUAAACUUUCCUUCGGGAAAGAUAUAAAGUGGCGUACGGGUGAGUAACACGUAAGUAAUCUACCUUCGAGUGGGGAAUAACGUUCGGAAACGAACGCUAAUACCGCAUAAUGCAGCGGCAUCAUAUGAUGACAGUUGUUAAAGCAUUUAUGCGCUUGAAGAGGAGCUUGCGGCAGAUUAGCUAGNGGUAAGGUAAUGGCUUACCAAGGCAACGAUCUGUAUCCGGUCUAAGAGGACGGUCGGACACACUGACACUGAAUAACGGGUCAGACUCCUACGGGAGGCAGCAGUCGGGAAUUUUGGGCAAUGGGCGAAAGCCUGACCCAGCAACGCCGCGUGAAGGAUGAAGUC
rnacentral:rRNA from 1 species